AAAAUCAUCACAAGACGCUUUGAUGGCAGUCAUCAAUAGCCAGACUGAGGCUGCUCUUGGAGUGGUGUAGAUCAGGAGUUCUGAAGCCAACAACAACAGCAAGAUAUGGUCAACCGAUGAGACUCAGCAUCUCUGCGGGACAAGAUGUGAGACUCUGGGCUCUGCAUGGUGUGGCUCAUUGAUCUCAUACCUUAGUAUUCGCUUCUGCGGGUUUGUGCAGCAGUCCACAGUUGUCGAGGAAGGAAGAAAAGUACAGCCUUAAGGUCAGUCCCGUUAA
rnacentral:lncRNA from 13 species